UGGGGGAUCGUCUAACGGCAGGACAGCAGGCUCUGACCCUGCGAAUCUAGGUUCGAAUCCUAGUCCCCCAACCA
rnacentral:tRNA from 1 species